GGAUGUGAGGGCGAACUAUCUGGCUGCGAAAUCUGUCACCCCAUUUAUUGCCAGGGUUGAUUCGGCUGAUGUGGCUGGCUAGGCGGGUGUCCCGUUCCUCCCCCACCGCUCUGUGCGUGUCCCUCCCGAAGCUGCGCCCUUGCUCGAAGAGGACGACCUUCCCAAAUAGAGGAGGACUCGCCAAGGGUGUCCGAGUGGCCCGCUGCCCUGCUAGAACCUCCAGACAAGCUCCCAAGUUGAGGGUAGAAAGCUCUGUGGUGGUCUGCACCUUCCAUCUCCAGCGAGAAGAUUUUCUGUAGCAACUACUCU
rnacentral:snRNA from 1 species